rnacentral:rRNA from 1 species
CACGUAGGGGGCGAGCGUUGUCCGGAUUUAUUGGGCGUAAAGAGCGCGUAGGCGGCUCGGAAAGUCGGUCGUGAAAUGCCGGGGCUCAACCCCGGGACUGCGUCCGAUACUCCCGAGCUGGAGGCAGGUAGGGGAGAUCGGAAUUCCUGGUGUAGCGGUGAAAUGCGCAGAUAUCAGGAGGAACACCGGUGGCGAAGGCGGAUCUCUGGGCCGUGCCUGACGCUGAGGCGCGAAAGCCAGGGGAGCGAACGGG